CAUGACUUGAGUUGAACAACAAUUAAGGCAGAAGAUCUACUAUAUCUGCUGAUUGACUGGUUGUAACAGGUUGUGGAGAAGCAUGACUGAAACAAGACAGCAGCGCUGGACCAAUCAGGAGAGAGAAGACAGAAGAUCCUGCUGACAUUCCAGAGAUUUAAUGAAGAAGAGUUUCCUGAUACAACAGAGGGACAUCUGAGGACGUGAUGCAGAAUAAAGAGACACUGAUCAUGUGAAGUUGGAUCUCCCGAGUCUGUAAACCUCCACCUUCAACACCAUCAGUUAGGUGGAGGAAGAUAAGAGAACCCAGUUCACAAAAAAAA